UGGGAUAUAGCCAAGCGGUAAGGCAACUGGCUCUGAACCAGUCAUCUCGGGAGUUCGAAUCUCUCUAUCCCAGCCA
rnacentral:tRNA from 1 species